CUUUGAGUCGCCUGUCGGCCGGGCGGUGCCCGCCUUCGCUUUCGGUGCCGUCCCGGGGCGGGUCCUCGCUCCGACAGCCGCGCGCCAGCCCAGCUCAGCCCCGGCGCCGCGCGGCCGGGAGGACUCCAGCUCCCAGCAGGCCCCGCGCCGCGAGCACCGAGGCAGGAGGCGCGCCUGGGCCGGCGCUUGCGCAGUGCGGCCGCCCGAGCCUGCUAG
rnacentral:lncRNA from 10 species